rnacentral:rRNA from 1 species
GAUGAACGCUGGCGGCGUGCCUAAUACAUGCAAGUCGAGCGAACAGAUGAGGAGCUUGCUCCUCUGACGUUAGCGGCGGACGGGUGAGUAACACGUGGAUAACCUACCUAUAAGACUGGGAUAACUUCGGGAAACCGGAGCUAAUACCGGAUAAUAUAUUGAACCGCAUGGUUCAAUAGUGAAAGACGGUUUUGCUGUCACUUAUAGAUGGAUCCGCGCCGCAUUAGCUAGUUGGUAAGGUAACGGCUUACCAAGGCGACGAUGCGUAGCCGACUUGAGAGGGUGAUCGGCCACACUGGAACUGAGACACGGUCCAGACUCCUACGGGAGGCAGCAGUAGGGAAUCUUCCGCAAUGGGCGAAAGCCUGACGGAGCAACGCCGCGUGAGUGAUGAAGGUCUUCGGAUCGUAAAACUCUGUUAUUAGGGAAGAACAAAUGUGUAAGUAACUAUGCACGUCUUGACGGUACCUAAUCAGAAAGCCACGGCUAACUACGUG